GCCGGUGUGGCGGAACUGGCAGACGCGCGGGACUCAAAAUCCCGUGUCCCUUACAGGACGUGUCGGUUCGACCCCGACCACCGGUA
rnacentral:tRNA from 1 species